GGCUAGAUAGCAUAGUGGUUUAUGCAAAAGAUUGCAAAUCUUUUUACAUUGGUUCAAAUCCGAUUCUAGCUU
rnacentral:tRNA from 1 species